AGUGAACGCUGGCGGUAGGCCUAACACAUGCAAGUCGAACGGCAGCACAGUAAGAGCUUGCUCUUACGGGUGGCGAGUGGCGGACGGGUGAGGAAUACAUCGGAAUCUACUUUUUCGUGGGGGAUAACGUAGGGAAACUUACGCUAAUACCGCAUACGUCCUACGGGUGAAAGCAGGGGAUCUUCGGACCUUGCGCGAUUGAAUGAGCCGAUGUCGGAUUAGCUAGUUGGCGGGGUAAAGGCCCACCAAGGCGACGAUCCGUAGCUGGUCUGAGAGGAUGAUCAGCCACACUGGAACUGAGACACGGUCCAGACUCCUACGGGAGGCAGCAGUGGGGAAUAUUGGACAAUGGGCGAAAGCCUGAUCCAGCCAUACCGCGUGGGUGAAGAAGGCCUUCGGGUUGUAAAGCCCUUUUGUUGGGAAAGAAAAGCAGCAGGUUAAUACCCCGCUGUUCUGACGGUACCCAAAGAAUAAGCACCGGCUAACUUCGUG
rnacentral:rRNA from 1 species